CCUACGGGAGACAGCAGUAGGGAAUCUUCCACAAUGGGCGAAAGCCUGAUGGAGCAACGCCGCGUGGGUGAAGAAGGUCUUCGGAUCGUAAAACCCUGUUGUUAGAGAAGAAAGUGCGUGAGAGUAACUGUUCACGUUUCGACGGUAUCUAACCAGACAGCCACGGCUAACUACGUGCCAGCAGCCGCGGUAAUACGUAGGUGGCAAGCGUUAUCCGGAUUUAUUGGGCGUAAGGGGAACGCAGGCGGUCUUUUAAGUCUGAUGUGAAAGCCUUCGGCUUAACCGGAGUAGUGCAUUGGAAACUGGGAGACUGGAGUGCAGAAGAGGAGAGUGGAACUCAAGGUGUAGCGGUGAAAUGCGUAGAUAUAUGGAAGAACACCAGUGGCGAAAGCGGCUCUCUGGUCUGUAACUGACGCUGAGGUUCGAAAGCGUGGGUAGCAAACAGGAUUAGAUACCCGAGUAGUC
rnacentral:rRNA from 1 species